AUACGGAAGGUCCGGGCGUUAUCCGGAUUUAUUGGGUUUAAAGGGAGCGCAGGCGGAGAUGCAAGCGUGACGUCAAAUUUCGGGGCUCAACCCCGUCUCGCGUCGCGAACUGCGUCCCUUGGUUGCGGGAAGGGGAGGCGGAACUCGGGGUGUAGCGGGGAAAUGCAUAGAUAUCACGAAGAACUCCGAUCGCGAAGGCAGCCUUCCGGCCCGUCAACGACGCUUAUGCUCGAAGGUGCGGGUAUCAAACAGGAUUAGAUACCCUGGUAGUCCGCACAGUAAACGAUGGACACCCGCGGUUUGGCCUGUAUGGCUGAGCCGCCAAGCGAAAGCGUUAAGUGUCCCACCUGGGGAGUACGCCGGCAACGGUGAAACUCAAAGGAAUUGACGGGG
rnacentral:rRNA from 1 species